GACGAACGCUGGCGGCGUGCUUAACACAUGCAAGUCGAACGGUGACGAGGAGCUUGCUCCUCCGAUCAGUGGCGAACGGGUGAGUAACACGUGAGCAACCUGCCCCAGACUCUGGGAUAACAGUUGGAAACAGCUGCUAAUACCGGAUACGAGACGGAGAGGCAUCUCUACCGUCUGGAAAGUUUUUCGGUCUGGGAUGGACUCGCGGCCUAUCAGCUAGUUGGUGAGGUAAUGGCUCACCAAGGCGACGACGGGUAGCCGGCCUGAGAGGGCGACCGGCCACACUGGGACUGAGACACGGCCCAGACUCCUACGGGAGGCAGCGGUGGGGAAUAUUGCACAAUGGGCGAAAGCCUGAUGCAGCGACGCCGCGUGAGGGAUGACGGCCUUC
rnacentral:rRNA from 1 species